AAGACCAGAGACGCAAACGUUAAUCAUCAUAAACAGGCGUAAAGGGUUUGUAGGCAGCUCCCACCCCCAGCUGGGAAGAAGAUAUACAAAAUAAAGUGUUCUAAUUGGGAGCUAGAAUCAAAAAGAGGUUAUAGUGUAUAACGCCUAGAGGAGGGCUGAUAUCCAUAGAUCCUAGGCAGAAUACUCAGGGCGAAGGCCACUCUCCACUAAUGAUUGACGCUGAGAAACGAAGGUUAGGGUAGGAAAUAGGAUUAGAUACCCCGGUACUCCUUUCUGUAAACGAUGAAUGGUAGUCAUUAGUCUACGGACUAGAGACGAAGUUAACACAAUAACCAUUCCGCCUUGUGAGUACUACUGCAAAGUAGAAAACAAAAAAAUUAGUCGGUCUCGAAGCAAACGGAGUGAAGCAUGUUAUUUAAUUG
rnacentral:rRNA from 1 species